rnacentral:ncRNA from 1 species
UGCGAUGAGUCGAGAUAGGUCAGACAACUUUAAGUUGUUUCGCUGCGGUGACUAGUGACCAAUUUCACCGGCACACUUUGUACCUACCGUAUUGUAGGCGUGUGAGUCAAUUUGGGUGUGUGAGCCACU